UGCUAAUACAUGCAAGUCGAGCGAACGGACGAGAAGCUUGCUUCUCUGAUGUUAGCGGCGGACGGGUGAGUAACACGUGGAUAACCUACCUAUAAGACUGGGAUAACUUCGGGAAACCGGAGCUAAUACCGGAUAAUAUUUUGAACCGCAUGGUUCAAAAGUGAAAGACGGUCUUGCUGUCACUUAUAGAUGGAUCCGCGCUGCAUUAGCUAGUUGGUAAGGUAACGGCUUACCAAGGCAACGAUGCAUAGCCGACCUGAGAGGGUGAUCGGCCACACUGGAACUGAGACACGGUCCAGACUCCUACGGGAGGCAGCAGUAGGGAAUCUUCCGCAAUGGGCGAAAGCCUGACGGAGCAACGCCGCGUGAGUGAUGAAGGUCUUCGGAUCGUAAAACUCUGUUAUUAGGGAAGAACAUAUGUGUAAGUAACUGUGCACAUCUUGACGGUACCUAAUCAGAAAGCCACGGCUAACUACGUGCCAGCAGCCGCGGUAAUACGUAGGUGGCAAGCGUUAUCCGGAAUUAUUGGGCGUAAAGCGCGCGUAGGCGGUUUUUUAAGUCUGAUGUGAAAGCCCACGGCUCAACCGUGGAGGGUCAUUGGAAACUGGAAAACUUGAGUGCAGAAGAGGAAAGUGGAAUUCCAUGUGUAGCGGUGAAAUGCGCAGAGAUAUGGAGGAACACCAGUGGCGAAGGCGACUUUCUGGUCUGUAACUGACGCUGAUGUGCGAAAGCGUGGGGAUCAAACAGGAUUAGAUACCCUGGUAGUCCACGCCGUAAACGAUGAGUGCUAAGUGUUAGGGGGUUUCCGCCCCUUAGUGCUGCAGCUAACGCAUUAAGCACUCCGCCUGGGGAGUACGACCGCAAGGUUGAAACUCAAAGGAAUUGACGGGGACCCGCACAAGCGGUGGAGCAUGUGGUUUAAUUCGAAGCAACGCGAAGAACCUUACCAAAUCUUGACAUCCUUUGACAACUCUAGAGAUAGAGCCUUCCCCUUCGGGGGACAAAGUGACAGGUGGUGCAUGGUUGUCGUCAGCUCGUGUCGUGAGAUGUUGGGUUAAGUCCCGCAACGAGCGCAACCCUUAAGCUUAGUUGCCAUCAUUAAGUUGGGCACUCUAAGUUGACUGCCGGUGACAAACCGGAGGAAGGUGGGGAUGACGUCAAAUCAUCAUGCCCCUUAUGAUUUGGGCUACACACGUGCUACAAUGGACAAUACAAAGGGCAGCGAAACCGCGAGGUCA
rnacentral:rRNA from 1 species